GUAGCCGUAGGGGAACCUGCGGCUGGAUCACCUCCUUAAUGGACGACAUCAGCUGCUCCAUAAGUUCCCACACGAAUUGCUUGAUUCAUUGAAGAAGACGAAAGAAGCAGCCCGAAAUUGGGUCUGUAGCUCAGUUGGUUAGAGCGCACCCCUGAUAAGGGUGAGGUCGGCAGUUCGAAUCUGCCCAGACCCACCAAUUUUGUGUGGGAAACGCCUGUAGAAAUACGGGGCCAUAGCUCAGCUGGGAGAGCGCCUGCCUUGCACGCAGGAGGUCAACGGUUCGAUCCCGUUUGGCUCCACCAGUACCGCUUCUGUUUGUAUAAAGCUUAGAAAUGAGCAUUCCUCGUUGUGAUGGUGAAUGUUGAUUUCUAGUCUUUGAUAGUUCGUUCUUUAAAAAUUUGGGUAUGUGAUAGAAAGAUAGACUGAACGUUACUUUCCCUGGUAACGGAUCAGGGUAAGGUAAAAU
rnacentral:tRNA from 1 species